UUGUUGAUUUCUGUUUGAAGUGACUCAGAUGACAAUGUCAGGAUGCAUUGGUUAUCUCCAGAACAUUCUUUUGAAUAUCGUGUCAUGGUGAAGACACGACUUAGUAUUGCAAGAUGUCAUUAAUCUUAUGGAUCUGCUGUGGUAUAGUUUUCAUUCAACAAGUGUUUAGUGUCUUUGUAGCAGUUUGUAUUAAGCAAUUUGCAAGCAAAUUAUAAAUGUACAUUCUGUUUAAGGCUCAAUAUUUUGCUUUGUUUAUAAUAUUCAACAAAAACAUGACACUGUGUUGUUUUUUUUAAGUCAUUGGAUUUUAAGAAAGUUUCCUUUUUUUAAUAAACUUUUUUAAAACAAAAUUUAUAUUUGCCAAAUGUAUUUUGAGCCCAGGAAGUAAUAAUUUUUAGAAAGUUAGUUCCCAGCUUGCUCAGUAUUACAAAACGUGCUAGAAAGAAACUGCUUUUCUGUAGCAAGAGACAAAAAAAAAG